GACGAACGCUGGCGGCGUGCUUAACACAUGCAAGUCGAACGGAAAGGCCCUGCUUUUGUGGGGUGCUCGAGUGGCGAACGGGUGAGUAACACGUGAGUAACCUGCCCUUGACUUUGGGAUAACUUCAGGAAACUGGGGCUAAUACCGGAUAGGAGCUCCUGCUGCAUGGUGGGGGUUGGAAGGUUUCGGCGGUUGGGGAUGGACUCGCGGCUUAUCAGCUUGUUGGUGGGGUAGUGGCUUACCAAGGCUUUGACGGGUAGCCGGCCUGAGAGGGUGACCGGCCACAUUGGGACUGAGAUACGGCCCAGACUCCUACGGGAGGCAGCAGUGGGGAAUAUUGCACAAUGGGCGGAAGCCUGAUGCAGCAACGCCGCGUGCGGGAUGACGGCCUUCGGGUUGUAAACCGCUUCCGCCUGUGACGAAGCGUGAGUGACGGUAAUGGGUAAAGAAGCACCGGCUAACUACGUG
rnacentral:rRNA from 1 species